rnacentral:tRNA from 1 species
GGCGCGUUCGACUUCUGGUGAGGUCAUCGGUCUUUCACACCGAUCAGGCUGGGUUCGAAUCCCGCACGCGUCA